CAAUAAUGCUCGCCGUUAACUAGUACUCUAUCUGAUUAGCAUCACCGUAUUAUUUUCUUACGGUUUCAUCUUCUGGUGCUAGAGCUGGUGGUUGAAUUCACGGCUAAGCCUUGUCGAUACCCAUGAAGGGGACUUUGUGUUCAUCGGGAUUGACGUUGAUGAAUUGGACCUUGUGGCUCUGCAUUUUCACUCGUGAAGAAAGGGAAGGUAGCUGGGGUCAAGAAGAAUGAACUUGAGAGCAAGAUUGAGAGACACAGGAUAUGAUCACCAUUCCUCUUAACAACCAAUGCCAUGUCCAUGGCGAAGCCUUGCUGGAGUGUGUAUUUCAGUAGUGAGUGAAGAAUUAAAUAAGGCCUCGAAAGCAAUUUGCUGAGGCAAAAACAAGGAUCCUUUUUUAAUUAUUAUUAUAUUGCUCUGCAUUGCUUUCCCAGGUU